ensembl:lncRNA
GUGGGCUUGGGGGUGAAGGCCAGGUCCGAGCAACCUUCCCUCAAAGUUUUAGCUGUGAAGUUAAUCCUUUGUUCAUUUUAGGUCCUUCCCACCCUACCCACUUGACAUUAGAAGAGACUAACACUGUAAGGGACUUCCCUGGUGAUUCAGUCGGUAAAGAAUCCAUCUGCAAUGCGGGAGACCCGGAUUCGAUCCCUGGGUUGGGAAGGUCCCCUGGAGGAGGGCAUGGCAACCCACUCCAGUGUUCUUGCUUGGAGAAUACCGAUGGACAGAGGAGCCUGGCGGGCUGCAGUCCAUGUGUCGCAAAGAGUGGGACACGACCGAACGACUCAGCACACAACCCCCUGAAGAGGAUUAAUUUGGUUUAAGUCACACUAUCAGUGGCACAAUGAGGACUAGAGCGCUCAUCUCCUGAAUCCCAGAUCAUUGCUUUCUCUGCCACACCAACCUGAAAGCUUUGAGUUUACCAAACGUUUUGGGAAAGAUGUUCCCAUAAAACAUAGAAUGAAUAAUAGGGACAAUCUGGAGAAAUCUAGGAAAGAAACAAGCCUAAGAUGUCUUCGAAAGCUUAUGUAUUUGCAAUGGAUAAAAGGAUUUUACUUAUGGUUAUUAACUGACCGUGAGUUACAACCUUGAACAAAACUGGAAACCUUUUGAUACUACAAAAGGCUCUUUGGCAUAUAUCUUUUCUUACAACACUGGUGCUAGCUUGUUUUUGACUUUCUUUUCACAGCCCCUUUCUUUUUCUCUCUUCAUGAUCUCAUCAACCUAGCUACUCUUGAGUGGAGAAAAAACAAAUUGAGACGUAGGUGCAGGCGUACUGGCAAACCUCUUGACAGUGUCUAGCACACCAGCUUUGUAACAUGAGUAUCAAAGUUAAGUCUUGGCAACAUUUCAGUUUGCUACAAUUCUCCAAAGAGUUGGGCAAAACUGAGCAUCUGAACUGAACUGACACGUCCUAGAGUUUGAUUAUUCGUCUUGAAUAACUGAAACACCAAAUAUAAAUCUGUGAUUGCUAUAGGUCUUCUGUAUAAUUAUGGGUUGGCCUGAAAUCAGGGGCUAUACGUUUAUCUAAAGUGACCUUAUGGAUUCAGUACUGUGAACAAAUGGGGUGUUCAGUUGAUGGUGAAAAAAUGCUUGUCUCUCCCUAAAUCAUAAUAGCUAUGUAUCUCUAGACUGGUGCUGUUCUAAAACCUUUAGGUCCCACUCAGACCCACUCCCAACUCUACCACUGUGAAGUCUUUGUAGCCAUACAACAAGGUAUGAUGUGCAUAGAAACACAGGAGUGGAUGUGUCUAAGAAUGUCACGUGUACAAAAUUGGGAUAAUCAUAGGAAUAGCUGUUAUUAUGUUAUAGUUGAAAAUCAAAUACAGAUAAAGCUUUAGUGCCUCAACUAUUUUUGGCAUUUAUUGUUAUGUUGGAGGUCACACAACAGGUCUGAAAAAGAACUAGACUGUUUGAGACUCCCUAAGCAAGAGACUAAUAAGUAUAUUAGUAUUUUUUAGAAUGACCUUCUAUGGUUUGGGACACUCUACAAACCCUACAUUCUAAGCACCAAACUCAUUGAAUCAAAACUCUGACUGCUGUCUGUGUCAGGUGGAGAGGGCAACGGUGGGGAAAUUAAACUGAGUCAUAAAUAACUGGACUAAAGUGUGGCUUAGCUGAAAAAAACUGGAGUACCACUACAUGUGUUCUCAGUGGGCAUCAAACAAAAACACUAGGAAUGGAGAUGAUGGAAUGGAUAAUUCAUUUUUUCAUAUUUGGUCCCUAUGAGAAAAAAUGAAUUAGAGAAGCUUGGUAACUUUCUCCAUCAUACAGCUAUGAAGGAUUGGAAUUAUGAUUUAAACUCAUCUGACUCCUAAACUCAG